AAAAAGGUGAAUCAAGUUUUUUGAGUUGUUGUUUACAUCACUGACCAUUGAGGGAGGGAAGAGAAAACGGACUCGAGUCAACAUACACAGACCCCCACCAUUCACUCACCCUGGAGGGGAUCUACAACGCACUUGCUCCUUCUUCCCCAAUUUUCAGCUGCAUCGGGAGGGGCCUCAUUUUUUCUCCCAACAGAAAAUCGUUCACUCUCAAUCUUCUUCUACACACUCCACACAUAGAUAAACUUCUUCAUCACCUUCUCCUUAUUUCUUCCAUCAGAAUCGCAAACAACAGAGUCCACACCAAACCCUCGUCGGACUGAGUUAUUUCCCGUCGCCACAGCCACCACUGCGUGCACUCCACCGCAAACACUCACCGGAUCGGAUUUUGGAUUUCGACUCUGAGUCGUGCACGUCUUCUGCCUCAGCUCCGCGACAGCCACCACACGAGCUCGCUCUCCCUGCAUCCACGGGUUCGAGCCACUGUGCCCUCUUCCAGCGAUACUCGCCCCUGCUCCACCCUGAAUCCUCUAGGGUCGUAACCCUUGGCUACAGCAGCAAUUUUAGGCGAAGCUCACAUUCUCUCUGUUUCAGCUACAUCACGAGUCAAUAAGGAGAGCACGGGGUUUCUAUUCACAAUGGCAGAGCUGGCAACUGAGAAACAUGUUCGCUACAUAUUAUCAGUUGAAAAGAGGAAAGAUAAUUUUGAAUCUGUGGUAAUGGAGCAUCUAAGAAUGAGUGGGGCAUACUGGGGCUUGACUGCCCUGGAUCUUCUGGGAAAGCUUGAUAGCGUUGAUGUUGAUGAGGUUACUUCAUGGUUGCUGAGUUGUCAACAUGAGUCAGGGGGAUUCGGUGGAAAUGUUGGUCAUGACCCGCACAUCUUGUAUACACUAAGUGCAGUGCAGGUGUUGGCUCUCUUUGAUAAGAUGGAUGUUAUUGAUGUAGAUAAGGUGACAAAUUAUAUUGUUAGCCUGCAAAAUGAAGAUGGAUCCUUUUCAGGGGAUAUGUGGGGUGAAGUUGAUACGCGGUUCUCAUAUAUUGCUAUUUGUUGCUUAUCAAUAUUACAUCGCUUGGAUAAAAUCAAUGUGGAGAAAGCUGUGAAGUACAUUAUAAGUUGCAAAAAUAUGGAUGGUGGUUUUGGUUGCACUCCUGGUGGGGAAUCUCAUGCUGGUCAAAUAUUUUGUUGUGUGGGAGCCCUUGCCAUAACGGGGUCACUAGAUCUUGUUGACAAGGACCUACUGGGUUGGUGGUUAUGUGAGCGACAGGUUAAAUCUGGAGGUCUGAAUGGGCGUCCUGAGAAACUUCCUGAUAUCAUCUCAGGUCUGCUACUCGUGGUGGGUUCUUUCUAGCCUCACCAUGAUUGAUAGAGUUCAUUGGAUCAGUAAGGAGAAGCUUAUAAGGUUUAUCAUAGACUGUCAGGACACAGAAAAUGGUGGGAUUUCAGACAGGCCAGAUGAUGCUGUGGAUGUAUUUCACACAUUCUUCGGGGUGGCAGGACUUUCACUACUUGAAUAUCCAGGAGUGAAACCGAUAGAUCCAGCUUAUGCCUUACCUGUUGACGUUGUAAAUCGAAUUUUCUUUAGGAAAUAAGAGUGAAGUAGUUCAGUUCGAUGAUAAUUAUGACUCACUCUUGGGAGUUGGAUCUACCACCCUCGGUGCAAAAAUAGUUAAUUAUGUCCUAAUCAAAAUGUUUACAUUUUUUAGCUUCUUUAAUUAAAUUGCUGUGAUACGAAAAGGAUUGUUCGGUGUUGUAGUUUUAUAAUUUUAUGUUUGGAUAGGUUAAAACAAGAAAAUUUUAUAAUUCUUGUUUAGUUUUAAAUUAUCUGUGAAUAGAAGAGAAGAGAAAAAAUACUUUCAUGUUCCGUAAAGUUUUAAUAUAUAUUAUAAUUGGUAAUUCUAAAA